GACGAACGCUGGCGGCGUGCUUAACACAUGCAAGUCGAACGGAAAGGCCCUGCUUUUGUGGGGUGCUCGAGUGGCGAACGGGUGAGUAACACGUGAGUAACCUGCCCUUGACUUUGGGAUAACUUCAGGAAACUGGGGCUAAUACCGGAUAGGAGCUCCUGCUGCAUGGUGGGGGUUGGAAAGUUUCGGCGGUUGGGGAUGGACUCGCGGCUUAUCAGCUUGUUGGUGGGGUAGUGGCUUACCAAGGCUUUGACGGGUAGCCGGCCUGAGAGGGUGACCGGCGACCUUGGGACUGAGAUACGGACCAGACUGCUACGGGAGGCAGCAGUGGGGAAUAUUGCACAAUGGGCGGAAGCCUGAUGCAGCAACGCCGCGUGCGGGAUGACGGCCUUCGGGUUGUAAACCGCUUUCGCCUGUGACGAAGCGUGAGUGACGGUAAUGGGUAAAGAAGCACCGGCUAACUACGUG
rnacentral:rRNA from 1 species